rnacentral:lncRNA from 10 species
CAUAUCAUCCCUGCCCAUUAGAGUGAACAAUAUUAGCAAAGGCACUGAGAAGGAAUAAUCUUGGCCUGUUUAUCGAACGGGACUAUUCAUUUCCCUGGCUACGAGGAUUUUAAAAAGCAAGAAGAAAUUUAUUGGCAGAUCUGAUCACCCUUAUGAGAGAGCAAUCAAGUAAGACAGCAUGUAGCCCCUGGAAAUUGCUGGAAAUCAUCAUGUGGCCCUAAGGAGUGCCAGCCUAACGAUGAAGCAGAAAGAGGGAUGGCGAGAUGACUGAACUGUUGAGUCAAGUCACAUCCAAAGCCCAUGUGGCCUCUGAUCUUUUCAGAUAAAUGAGUUAUUAAAUAUUUUAUUUAAACCAGUGAAA